ACUACACCUAUCCGCCAGGGAACUACAAGCAUUAGCUUCAAACCCAAAGGACUUGGCGGUGCUUUAGACCCACCUAGAGGAGCCUGUCCUAGAACCGAUAACCCUCGUUCAACCUCACCACUUCUAGCCCAAUCCGCCUAUAUACCACCGUCGUCAGCUUACCCCGUGAGGGAUUAACAGUAAGCUAAACUGGCACAGCCCAAAACGUCAGGUCGAGGUGUAGCGCAUGAAGUGUGCAAGAGAUGGGCUACAUUUUCUGACGCAGAAAACCACGAAAGGAGACAUGAAAAACUUCCGAAGGAGGAUUUAGCAGUAAAUGGGGAAUAGAGCGCCCCACUGAAACUGGCCCUUAAGCGCGUACACACCGCC
rnacentral:rRNA from 1 species